rnacentral:rRNA from 1 species
UACAGAGGGUGCGAGCGUUGUUCGGAAUUAUUGGGCGUAAAGGGCGCGUAGGCGGCGCCACAAGUCACCUGUGAAAACUCUGGGCUCAACCCAGAGCCUGCAGGCGAAACUACCAUUCUUGAGUGUCGGAGAGGAAAGCGGAAUUCCUGGUGUAGAGGUGAAAUUCGUAGAUAUCAGGAGGAACACCAGUGGCGAAGGCGGCUUUCUGGACGAUAACUGACGCUGAGACGCGAAAGCGUGGGGAGCAAACAGG